rnacentral:tRNA from 1 species
GGGCAUAUAGCUCAGCGGGAGAGCGCCGGCUUCGCCGUCUCGGUGCGGAUGCUGGAGGUCACUGGUUUAAAUCCAGUUAUGCCCA